UGCCCCGUGCUGCUGGGCUCGGGCAGGAGCGUGAGAGCGAGCCUUGCUGGGCCAGGCCGGGCGAAAUGGGAGCUCCCCGCAGAGCCAGGGGAAGGCUGGCCGCUCCGCUCUAGCAGCCAGAGCCCUGUUUUACAGCACGCUCAGCCUGCUCGGCUUCUGCUCCCAUUGCUCUUCUGCGCCAUUCUCCCAUUCCUUUCUCCCAUAUUCCUGCCAUUUCUUCCUCCGUAUUCUCGCAUUCUGCUCCCAUCAGUAGCCUCUAACUAAUGCUGGUGGUAGCAGAGUUUAUCCUGCAGUUAGAGCUUGAAAAUCCGCCUCUGGGCUUUGCUAAAUGGGAAGCCCGAGAGUUGCUAUGGGUUAGGCCAGCUUGCCCUUCCCAAGGCCAAGAGCCUCAACCUCCUUCUGCAUUCAGGUGUAUCCUGCUGUGCUCUGUAUCCCGCUGUGCUCUGUCUUCCGUACACUCGGGGGAAGCUUCUCUAGUUGUACUCAAGUGGGGUUGUUUGCGAAAACUGUUGGCCAGUGUCAGCACCGAGCCCGGUUAAUCAUGUUUUUCUGAAGGGUGCUGAAAGGUGGAAUUUUCAAAGAAGUUGGGAAGAUGGUUCCACUGAAGCCCAACACUAGUGGAAAUCUGUUCUUCAGCAAUUUCACAAAUGCCCAGAGGAGGGGGAUGCACAGAACUCCCCAAAACCUGCUUCAAGGGCAGCCAGUCUCCUUCUGUACUUGGUGAUAAUACUGUUUUUCUUUGUUUAGGGAGGAUCCUAGCUUCUUCGAGCUUGAAAAUUGUUAUUCCAUCCCCACCUGCACUCUUCAUGUGGCAAAGUUAGAGAUGCUCAUUAAGGCAGUUCUUAAAGUGGUGAGUUCCAGAUCUCUAUUAUGUAGAUUCUUAAAUAAAAUUCAUAGAUGAACAUCAAUUAUAUUUCACAGUCUUUCUUACAAGAAUUCCUAAAUCAUGUAAAUACAGUAAAGGCUAUUACAUUAUUUUACUGAUUGGUGUGGCUAUGGCAUAGAUACUGUGAUGAAACCCGUGGUAGUUGUCAUAUUUCUGAAGUUUAACGUUUGAAUCUGCAUAUUGAAACAAAGGUUGGAGGUUUUUACCUGCUCCACUGACUGGAAAUCACCACUGUGCAGCAAAGUCUCUGCACUUAGAGAGAGCACAGCUUUGGACAGCACCCCAUCCGGAUGUGAUUCCGAGCCCUGUCCUAGCUGAUCCCUAAUUCCGGGUUACAGCAGCCGGUGCUGCUGGAGCAGAGCACGGGGCCCAUUCCAAGGCUGGGGUCCUGCCAACUGUCUCAAGGUUUAUUUACUGUAGUGCCAGCAGAUACAACGAAUGGCUGUAUAGUCAUAAAUUAUAUAAAUUAUAAAGAGAGGGAUAGCCAGAUAGAAUAGUGAGAGCGGUCGCAGGAGCAAUGUUUCUAGCAGGAGGGAGCAUAUAAAUCAUGGAGCAAGCAAGUUAAGAGCAGCAUUUCCCUUAGUUCCCCUCCUCCCAGGAACCCUGAGCUCCUGCUGGUAGGCAAUAAACUAACCAUAUUAACGUCUCUGGCAGCAGUGAUGAGCUUCCAAAAAGAAUUAUAUUAAUUUCACAUAAGGCGGCAAGCUUUGCAGGGCAUUUCUUGUAAUGGGCUGAGUAGGAGAGAGCACCACUGAGGGUAUAGGCAGCCCCAUAGCAGCACAUCUGCUGGAAAUGCAACUUACUGGGGACCAUGUGUCCCUUGGGAGCAAUGUCACUUAUCAGCGGGAUGUUCUUAGGCUGGACCUUGGAUUCUGGGACUCAUGGCACAAGGAGGCAUGAUAAAAACACCAUGCUUAAAACACCUGUGUGUUGUUCCUGCCCAGUGCAUGGUUUCGGGCACCCUCCUCGACGGAGCUUGGAUGUUGCCUGAUCUAGCAUAGUCCUUUGCAUAGGCCCAAAUCUUUCCAGGAGGAAUUAAGCCCUCUGUUAGACUACCUGUUCGCACAGUAGGAUAUCUAAUGCGCUAUUUCAUACACUGUGUUAUUGCCAAAUGCAUCCACUUAUUUUUAUAGAAUAGUAGCCUUAAAUUCCAAAGAAGUGUCAAAUAUUUAGUGCCUGUUUAUAUAUUUGCUAUAUUUAAAUAAGUAAAAAGUGCUCCCUGUUAACUGAAGGAAGACUACCCUGAAUAGCCAAAAGUGUGGAAGUGUGAAGCAAACGUUAGGAGCAAAGAGCAGCCCCUCCAUCCGAGCUGGGAAGGGAACCGUAGCUGGGCUCUCUCGCCGUGGGGACGUUUCCUUUCCAGGCAAAAAUCCCAUGUCUUCAUUUUUAAUUGUUUUAAAAGGGGACUUGUUUACCUAGUGAAAAUCCGAUGAUAGGUUUUGUCUUUGUUUGUUGCAAGCAGUUAAGUUUAUUCUACUGUAGAAAGAAUAAACUCCAUCUGUAACUGGAAUGGCAAAGAAUGUUAUAAACAAAUAUGCUUAGUAUUUAUGUUAUUUUCCUACCUUGAAUGCGUAGCACAAGAUUAAUAUGGGUAGGAUAAUAAAAAAGAUUUACGUUGAAGAGAUUUUAACUCUGGAAUUGUAAUUUGUGUGGUAGAAUAUCUGAGCAUCUGGCAUUGCACCGUGAACUGUUCCCAGAUAAUGCAAAACUUCUUUGGAGCGAGCAGGGACAGUUCCCGGCUCAGAGCUCAAAGGACGCCCUCCUAUCUCCCGAAAUAAAUGCGUGACAGAUGUUCCGUGGCGGCGUUUUUCCGGAUGGAGCCUUGAAUUCCCGGGGAAUCCAGGUCAGAGGGAAGAGCCAUGGCCACUGUUGCCUUGGAGCAUCCCGGCGUUCCCGCAGCGACGCGGAGCGGCCCGGCCUGCUGCUGGAAGCGCUUCAAAGCCUGCAGUGAAUUCCCUGAUGUCAAAGGAAACUUCUGCAAAAUAAUUUGGGAGCGCUCACUGACUGGGCAGAUACCGAUAUAUUCGGAGUACUGAAACCUAUUUGUGUUCACCAUCUUUUACUUAUGAAUAUACUGAAGAAUUGAAAAGAACAAGAGAUCUUUCUCAUCUAGUAGGAACAAUAGAUUAUUUCACCCAUCUUCUGUAUCUACACCACUCUUCAAAUUUGGAGGAGGUUGGGAAGGACAUUGGGUCUUACUGCUUGCCUUGCAGAUUGCUUUUUGGACCCCAGUAGACGAAGUCUCAAGUGCCACGAUAUAAAAAUCCAGGUUUAUGACCCCACAACUACACAGCUUGUUACCUUGACUAUUCAUUUCCAAUAUGAUACAGAGAACUGGGACUGAAA